rnacentral:rRNA from 1 species
UACGUAGGGUGCAAGCGUUAAUCGGAAUUACUGGGCGUAAAGCGUGCGCAGGCGGUUUUGUAAGUCUGACGUGAAAUCCCCGGGCUCAACCUGGGAAUUGCGUUGGAGACUGCAAGGCUAGAAUCUGGCAGAGGGGGGUAGAAUUCCACGUGUAGCAGUGAAAUGUGUAGAGAUGUGGAGGAACACCGAUGGCGAAGGCAGCCCCCUGGGUCAAGAUUGACGCUCAUGCACGAAAGCGUGGGGAGCAAACAGG